rnacentral:rRNA from 1 species
UACGGAGGGUGCAAGCGUUGUCCGGAUUUAUUGGGUUUAAAGGGUGCGUAGGCGGUCUUUUAAGUCAGUGGUGAAAUCCUCCAGCUCAACUGGAGAACUGCCAUUGAUACUGGAAGACUUGAGUAUAGUUGAGGUAGGCGGAAUUGACAGUGUAGCGGUGAAAUGCAUAGAUAUUGUCAAGAACACCGAUUGCGAAGGCAGCUUACUAAACUAUAACUGACGCUGAGGUACGAAAGUGCGGGGAUCAAACAGG